rnacentral:rRNA from 1 species
UACGGAGGGGACUAGCGUUGUUCGGAAUUACUGGGCGUAAAGCGCACGUAGGCGGAUUGUUAAGUCAGGGGUGAAAUCCUGGAGCUCAACUCCAGAACUGCCCUUGAUACUGGCAAUCUUGAGUCCGGAAGAGGUGAGUGGAACUCCUAGUGUAGAGGUGGAAUUCGUAGAUAUUAGGAAGAACACCAGUGGCGAAGGCGGCUCACUGGUCCGGUACUGACGCUGAGGUGCGAAAGCGUGGGGAGCAAACAGG